GUUUUUUUAACCUUAAAGGGAAUUCAAACAGUAUCUCGCUCUUUGCCUUGUUCUGCUUGCUUGCAAUAACACUGCCUCAAAAUCUGCAAUAAGACCUCUUCUUCUUACCAAGCAUUAGGUGGACAUGGUUCUGUAAUGUGUUGAGGAAGGUAUUAUGAUUUGUUGGGUGGUGAUGCUAUGUAUAUGGGUCUACCAGUGAUGGGUGACAGAGGAGAAAUUUGACGUAUUGUAAUGGGUAUCUAA
rnacentral:misc_RNA from 1 species